rnacentral:rRNA from 1 species
CCUACGGGCGGCAGCAGUGAGGAAUAUUCGACAAUGGGCGCGAGCCUGAACCAGCAAAGUAGCGUGAAGGAUGAAUGCCCUCCGGGCUGUAAACUUCUUUUAUAAAGGAAUAAAGUGAGGCACGUGUGUCUUUUUGUAUGUACUUUAUGAAUACGGAUCGGCUAACUCCGUGCCAGCCGCCGCGGUGAUACGUAGGAUCCGAGCGUUAUCCGGAUUUAUUGGGUUUAAAGGGAGCGUAGAUGGUUUGUUAAGUCAGUUGUGAAAGUCUGCGGCUCAACCGUACAAGUGCAAUGGAAACUGGCAGCCUUGAGUACAGUAGAGGUAGGCGGAAUUCGAGGUGUAGCGGUGAAAUGCUUAGAUAUAACGAAGAACUCCGAUUGCGAAGGCAGCUUACUAAACUGCCACUGACAUUGAGGCUCGAAAGUGUGGGUAGCAAACAGGAUUAGAUACCCGAGUAGUC